UACGGAGGGGGCGAGCGUUAUUCGGAAUUAUUGGGCGUAAAGGGCGCGUAGGCGGCCGGAUAAGUCAAAGGUGAAAUCCCUCGGCUCAACUGAGGAACUGCCUUUGAAACUGUUUGGCUCGAGUCCGGGAGGGGGUAGCGGAAUUCCCAGUGUAGCGGUGAAAUGCGCAGAUAUCAGGAGGAACACCUAUUGCGAAGGCAGCUCGCUGGGACGUAACUGACGCUGAGACGCGAAAGCGUGGGGAGCAAACAGG
rnacentral:rRNA from 1 species